rnacentral:rRNA from 1 species
GAUGAACGCUAGCGGCAGGCCUAAUACAUGCAAGUCGAACGGUUAUGGGUUGUAGCAAUAUGAUUCAUGAUAGUGGCGCACGGGUGCGUAACGCGUAUGCAACCUACCCUUAACUGGGGGAUAGCCCCGGGAAACCGGGAUUAAUACCGCAUAAUAUAAUUUUGUUGCAUAAUGAGAUUAUUAAAGAUUUAUUGGUUAAGGAUGGGCAUGCGUGCCAUUAGCUAGUUGGCGGGGUAACGGCCCACCAAGG